ACCAAUCAAAAUGCUCAUGUUCCUAGAUCAAAAAUUAAAACGAUUUGGUUCACGAUCUCUUCUCUUCCCCCCGAAACCUCUUCGCACCUUUUUGCCACACUUCAAU
ensembl:ncRNA F19C6.12 ncRNA